rnacentral:rRNA from 1 species
UACGUAGGGACCGAGCGUUGUCCGGAUUCAUUGGGCGUAAAGAGCUCGUAGGCGGCUGUCCAAGUCGAACGUGAAACUCGGGCUCAACUCCGAGCCUGCGUCCGAUACUGGCAGGCUUGAAUCCGGAGAGGGAUGCGGAAUUCCAGGUGUAGCGGUGAAGUGCGUAGAUAUCUGGAGGAACACCGGUGGCGAAGGCGGCAUCCGUGGACCGGUAUGACGCUGAGGCGCGAAGCCAGGGAGC